rnacentral:rRNA from 1 species
UACAGAGGUCUCAAGCGUUGUUCGGAUUCAUUGGGCGUAAAGGGUGCGUAGGCGGCGCGGUAAGUCGGGUGUGAAAUCUCGGGGCUUAACUCCGAAACUGCAUUCGAUACUGCCGUGCUUGAGGACUGGAGAGGAGACUGGAAUUUACGGUGUAGCGGUGAAAUGCGUAGAUAUCGUAAGGAAGACCAGUGGCGAAGGCGGGUCUCUGGACAGUUCCUGACGCUGAGGCACGAAGGCCAGGGGAGCAAACGAG